rnacentral:rRNA from 1 species
UACGUAGGGUGCAAGCGUUGUCCGGAAUUAUUGGGCGUAAAGAGCUCGUAGGCGGUUUGUUGCGUCGGCUGUGAAAUCCCGAGGCUCAACCUCGGGUCUGCAGUCGAUACGAGCAAACUAGAGUGUUGCAGGGGAGACUGGAAUUCCUGGUGUAGCGGUGAAAUGCGCAGAUAUCAGGAGGAACACCGGUGGCGGAGGCGGGUCUCUGGGCAACAACUGACGCUGGAGGAGCGAAAGCGUGGGGAGCGAACAGG